ensembl:lncRNA
AUAUAUUUAUAUAGAAAACUGUAAUUUUAAAUUGUAAUAAUAGUUCACAAUAAUACUGUGCUUAGUGUAUUUUUAAUCACAUAAAUGCAGCCUUGGUGAGCACAAGAGAUAAAAAAAAUAAAAAUAAAAAAAACCUUGAAAGAUUUAUAAUUAUUUCAAACAUCUUACUGGUUUUAUAUGAAUGGAAGAAAUCCAUUUUUGGUAAAGGAUUAGCUAUAAACAUUGAACAUGUAAAUGCAUAACUGGAAAUCUCUAUAACAAUAUAUCGGUCAAGUGAAUUGAAUAGUCGCAAAAAAAACUUUUCUUUCAUUAAAAUGCCCAUACAGUUACAAGAAAUUAGAGUGAGAUGCUUUGAAAAUGCAAUAAGAGUUUUGUAAGACCUUUGCAAUAAGGGAAAGCAAAGUCUUCCUCUAUCUUCCUGAAUUUGAUUGGUGCUUCAGAGCAGCUCUUAUCUCAUUUAUUCACUUUCAUCUUUUCUCCACCCUUUAUUAUCUUCUCCCGGUUCUUCAUUAUGGGGCUCUUGAAGCACGUCUACAGCAUGAAUGUGUUUCUUUCUGCCUGAUCAGACAUGUACGACUCACUGUGAGAGCACGUCAGGAUAUAAAUAAUAUGGAAUGAUAGCAGCUGCGGUUUCCCAUUCGCAUUCUCCACAUCUCGUCAGGCAGUACAUCGACUCCACCCUCAUUAGAGAUCUGAUCCACAUGCGCUGAUGAUAACAGGCUUCGGAAUUUGAGACGAGAGAUCUGAACUAGUUUCCAAAAGUUUGAGUCCUUUUGAAGCUUGAUCAUGCUAUUAAUUGCUGGACUGCAAUCGUGGAAUAUUGUGAUGUUUUUAUCAGCUGUUUGGACUCACAUGCUGAUGAUAUCCAUUCACUACAGAGGAUCCACUGGUCCCCAGACACCUUCUGAAGAUGAAAACCAAGGACAUGGGCACAUGAAAUAGACGCCGGCUUCAGCUACUCAAGAUUUUCAAUCAAGCCCUGAUGGAAUAGCUUUUUACAAAGAUGCACUGGCAUUACCAGCAGCCCCAAAACUGAUUCUGUGCUGCUCAAAGAAAAAAUGAAAAGGUUUUGUUGUUGUUGUUGUUGUUCAUGCUGAUAAGAGGAUUUUUUUUUUUUUUGUGUGUGUGUGUGUGUGUGUGUGUGUGUGUGUGUGUGUGUGUGUGUGUGUGUGUAGACAGAGAGAGACAUUGGGUGUUUGUGUUGGGCCAUCUUUCUUCAUAUUAUGUGAACUAGACUAACAAAAAAUAAAGAUAUUCACUGAAAAAGUGUAUUCUCCUGU